UACGUAGGGGGCAAGCGUUGUCCGGAUUUAUUGGGCGUAAAGAGCGUGUAGGCGGCCAGGCAGGUCCGCUGUGAAAACUCGAGGCUCAACCUCGAGAGGUCGGUGGAAACCGUCUGGCUAGAGUCCGGAAGAGGAGAGUGGAAUCCCCGGUGUAGCGGUGAAAUGCGCAGAUAUCGGGAAGAACACCCGUGGCGAAGGCGGCUCUCUGGGACGGUACUGACGCUGAGACGCGAAAGCGUGGGGAGCAAACAGG
rnacentral:rRNA from 1 species